rnacentral:lncRNA from 1 species
CGCUUAGGUAACCACCCAACUCUUUCCAUCUGUAAAAUGAGAGGUGAGCUAUGUAGGUGAACACUAAGAGCCCUUGUUUAGCUAACAUUCUGUGAUUGCAAGGGGAGCGCAAGUGAACUGGAUGUGAUGGGCCACAGAACAAUGAGCAACCUGGAGAGCGGGAAGAGAGGGUUUUUCUAGAACCAUGUGUUCGAAAUUGGGAGUCCUCAGAGGGGCUGCAGGAAGCGUGCAAGAAAAACGGAAGUGAGAUUCCAACAGGAGGGCACCACUGUCCCUGUCUGACCUUAAACCAGGAGAUUUUGUACAGAUGUAUUCCUUCAAGAAAACCAGCUUGUUGGCAGUAAUAGAGAAGAAAUGAGCUUCUCCCAACAACAGCCAACAACAGCCAAUGACAACAGCAAAAUAGGAAAAAGGGUUGCCCUCUGAAAGGUGCAGCCCAGAGCAGCAGGAGCUGUGCCCUGGCCCCUGUCCUGAGGAGCUCCCACUGGUCAGCCCCGCCUACUCCAGCUGGACCUUGAUGCUUCACACAAGGUGUGCGCAGAGGACACAGGCACUUCAUGGAGCAACAUACUUUUGUAAAAAAAAUGAAUUCCCUUGUAACAAAUAGAGCACGGAGGCUUUUAUAGAUUAAGUAAUUUGUAGUCUUCUUAUAAUUAUGGCUUCUAAAUUACCUAAAAUAAUUCAUUCAAGGCUUGAUUUUAGUUUUGUCUUGAGAGUGUCAACUCUUUAACUUGAGAUGCUGUAGGAUGGGGUUUCAUCUUGGGAUUCUUUUCUUGGAUAUGUCAUUUAAAUUCUGAUACUUAUAUUCCCUAUUUGAAAACACAUGAUCAAUGACAAUACCAAUACCUGAUUUGUGUGCAAUACUUAUAAUUUACAACGUACAUUAUUUUAACAUACAUUCUUUUCAUGCGACCCUCUCAACAACCCUUUGACAAGGCAAGUCAGAGACUAAUUACUAGAGAUUAUUCAAGCGACUUGCUCCAAGUCAUACAGUAGGCAGGCAGCCAAGAUGACUCUAGUUUUUCCAACUCCUAGUCCCACACUCUUUCCUCUCCCCUUACAUGUUCUGAUAUAAAUCAAACUUAGGUUUGAAAAUAUCUUAUUGAUGUAUUUCAACACCCCAGAAUUUGAUGAGACUGGAAUCGAUUUGUUGUGAUCUGUGAUUGCUGAAUUCCUCGUAUGUGGUGGAUACCAAGGUAAGUUGACUAGAAUGUGAGCUUGCCUACCCAGACACCAGUUCCCAUGUCCUUUGUCCGGUGGUAUAAUUUGAAGUUCACUCUUUUUGGUGUACAGUUUUAUGAGUUGAGUUGUGAAAAACAUAUACAGUUGUGUAUCCACCACUACAGUCAAGAUAUAGAACAGUUCCAUUACCUCAAAAAUUUUUUUCAGGCCGGGCGCAGUGGCUCACGCCUGUAAUCCCAGCACUUUAGGAGGCCAAAGCGGGCGGAUCACGAGGUCAGGAGAUCGAGACCAUCCUGGCUAACGCUGUGAAACCAUGUCUCUACUAAAAAUACAAAAAAAUUAGCCAGGCGUGGUGGCAGGUGCCUGUGGUCCCAGCUACUUGGGAGGCUGAGGCAAGAGAACCGCUUGACCCUGGGAGGCAGAGGUUGCGGUGAGCCAAGAUCGCGCCACUGCACUCCAACCUGGGCGACAGAGCGAGAGUCCAUCUCAAAAAGAAAACAUCAUACUCUUUUGUAGUCAACCCUAGCUAGGCCCCUAUAGUUUUGCCUUUCCCAAAGUAUCUUAUGCAUGGAAUCAUCCAGGAGAUAACCUCCUGAAUCAGGCUUCUGUCUCUUAGCAUAAUGCAUUUGGGAUUUACCAUGUUAUUUCAUUUAUCAGGUUUUUGUCCCUUUUCAUUGCUGAGUAGUAUUUCAUUAUAGGAAUGUACUCUCGUUUGUGGAUCAUUCUGAUCAACUCAGCACAUGUGGAUUAUUUCCAGUCUUGGCAAUGAUGAAUAAAGUCACUCUAAGCAUUCACGUACAGGUUUUUGCAUGAAUAAAAU